rnacentral:rRNA from 1 species
UACGUAGGUGGCAAGCGUUGUCCGGAUUUACUGGGCGUAAAGAGCGCGCAGGCGGUCGUCCAAGUCGCGUGUGAAAGCCCCCGGCUCAACUGGGGAGGGUCACUCGAUACUGAUCGACUCGAAGGCAGGAGAGGGUAGUGGAAUUCCCGGUGUAGUGGUGAAAUGCGUAGAUAUCUGGAGGAACACCGGUGGCGAAGGCGGCAUCCUGGACCGACACUGACGCUGAGGAGCGAAAGCCAGGGGAGCAAACGGG